GCAACAUCUAUGCCUAGCAACAAGACUGCAUGUGUUACUACUACAGAUUCUGCACACACUUCGUUCUAUCACAGCAACAUCUGUGCCUAGCAACAAUGCGCCACACUCUCCGAGUUUUCUGAAACAGGAGUCAGCUGAUUAGUGUCCACCAUCUUACCACAUUUACGUUCAGAAGCUUUAAGAUACUGCAAUACUGGAAACUGGGAGAAUGAAGGAGGAUUUCGGUGUGAAGGCAUUAUUCCUAUUGAAGAAAUCAAUGCUCCCACCAUCAUAUCUACACCUCUGCAUCUGUUUUUCUGUAUGAACAUUCAACAUAACUCAUCACUCCAGAAGCGAU